AUUGAACGCUGGCGGUAGGCCUAACACAUGCAAGUCGAACGCGAAAGUCCUUCGGGAUGAGUAGAGUGGCGGACGGGUGAGUAACGCGUAGGAAUCUAUCCUGUAGUGGGGGAUAACGUUUCGAAAGGAACGCUAAUACCGCAUACGCCCCAAGGGGGAAAGCGGGGGAUCUUCGGACCUCGUGCUAUCGGGGGAGCCUGCGUCGGAUUAGCUAGUUGGUGAGGUAAAGGCUCACCAAGGCGACGAUCCGUAGCUGGUCUGAGAGGAUGAUCAGCCAGACGGGAACUGAGACAGGGUCCGGACUCCUACGGUAGGCAGCAGUGGGGAAUAUUGCGCAAGGGGCGAAAGCCUGACGCAGCCAUACCGCGUGUGUGUAGAAGGCCUUCGGGUUGUAAAGCACUUUCAGUGGGGAGGAAAAGCUGGUGGCUAAUAUCUAUCGGCCGUGACGCUACCCACAGAAGAAGCACCCGCUAAUUCCGUGCCAGCCGCCGCCGUAAAAC
rnacentral:rRNA from 1 species